UGUUGUUCCAAUAGGGUCGGAAGCGUGUAAAUUAUUGUACUAAAAAAUCACACAAAGUUCAAUUUCCAGGGAAGAGAGGUGGAUCACAUGGAUCUCUUAAAUACCAAGUCUUUCCUUAGACAGAAUAUCCCUUCUAUAGUAAUUUAAUAGCACAAUUAAAUACUACUAUUAUACCCUCAAAUAUUGAAAGAAAAAUAGGACAAGAAAGAACACAAGAGAUUUAACGAGGUUCGGUAAAUUAUACCUACGUCCUCGGGCACUAACACCAGAUGAUAACUUUACUAUCUCCAAAGUAUUACAAACAAAUAGAAUUCCUUAAGAAUUCUCAAAUGGGAGAAGAGAGAAAACUAAGAGAGAAAGAUUGGUU
rnacentral:lncRNA from 1 species